rnacentral:rRNA from 1 species
GCUAGCGUUGUUCGGAAUGACUGGGCGUAAAGAGCGUGUAGGCGGCCAGAAAAGUCCGCUGUGAAAACUCGAGGCUCAACUUCGAGCUGUCGGUGGAAACUUUCUGGCUAGAGUCCGGAAGAGGAGAAUGGAAUUCCUGGUGUAGCGGUGAAAUGCGCAGAUAUCAGGAAGAACACCCGUGGCGAAGGCGGUUCUCUGGGACGGUACUGACGCUGAGACGCGAAAGCGUGGGGAGCGAACAGG